rnacentral:misc_RNA from 1 species
CAAUUACAACAUAUGCUAGCUUUCUGAAGUAGAAAAUCAAGGACAGCCACCCGCCUCUCUUUUCUAAAAGUUUUGCCAUUUAUACCUUUCAUUUAAAUGCUUUUUAUUAAUAUAGGUAUUGUUAGUUGAUUUGUUACAUUUAUUUUAGAUGUAAGUUGGAAUUUGAAGUUUUGGUGCAAGAGUGGUCCGGAAUGAAUUUUCAUGAGCUGGAAAAUUG